GCUUUUCAAACUAACAAACAACUAAAACUAAGUUUAGCUCAUAAAUCAUUCAUUGCUACCUUUACCAUUAACAAUAUUGUCAACAGAUCAUACAAUGUCCGGAGGAAAAUUAAACCAAAAACACUGAGGGAAAGCUAAACUUAAUAUGAACAACCCAUAAGAUUUAUCCUAUGCUAUAUAUUUCAAAAGCAUCCAAUGCAACAAUCAAAAAACAAAAGGGAAGAACUCAAGACUUCAUAGCAAACACCCACUUAUAUGCACAGAAAACUCCCAAAAACAAAAUAUAGCCACCAAUUUAACAAUACAACAACCUGACAUCCAACAGGGAUGAAGACAAUUGCCAGCGAAAUUAUAUUCAUUCUCUUAAAGAUUAAGCAAAACCCAUUUUUCAACAAAUAGAGUAAAUCUCAAAAUCCAACUAAAAGGGGUUUCUUGAACUCCUUUUCUUUUCUUUUUUUUUUUCAAAUUGGUUUCACUACUUAUCCUCACACAGUAAUCAAUAGUUCCUCAAUCUCUCAUCAAAACACCACGCGGAACUGCGGCGCAUCGGCAUCACUAGCAGGGAGGAUUUCCCAGCGGCAAGGCUCGAGCUCGUCAGACACCGGGCAGUACCCGGCCAGAGUAACCUUAUCGGUCGAAGCAGCGAUGGAGCCAAACUCGAACACGGUGACGUUCUUGGCGGGUCGGGGUACUUGCACGGCGCCAUUCAUGCCGGGGACCUCGGAGGCUGAGAAUUCCGGUUUGGAGCUCGGAGACGAUUUGGAUUCAGGCUUGGGGCUGCCUUUGAACCAGGAGAGGAGACCCAUUGCUUUAAUUUGGGG
rnacentral:misc_RNA from 1 species